CCUACGGGAGGCAGCAGUGGGGAAUAUUGCACAAUGGGGGAAACCCUGCUGCAGCAACGCCGCGUGAGUGAAGAAGUAUUUCGGUAUGUACAGCUCUAUCAGCAGGGAAGAAGAAAGACGGUACCUGACUAAGAAGCCCCGGCUAACUACGUGCCAGCAGCCGCGGUAAUACGUAGGGGGCAAGCGUUAUCCGGAUUUACUGGGUGUAAAGGGAGCGUAGACGGCUGUGAAAGUCUGAAGUGAAAGCCCGUGGCUCAACCGCGGAACUGCUUUUGUAACUGUGAAACUAGAGUACGGGAGAGGUAAGAGGAAUUCCUAGUGUAGCGGUGAAAUGCGUAGAUAUUAGGAGGAACACCAGUGGCGAAGGCGUCUUACUGGACCGAAACUGACGUUGAGGCUCGAAAGCGUGGGGAGCAAACAGGAUUAGAUACCCCUGUAGU
rnacentral:rRNA from 1 species